UACGUAGGGGGCAAGCGUUGUCCGGAUUUAUUGGGCGUAAAGAGCGUGUAGGCGGCUAGAUAGGUCCGUUGUGAAAACUCGAGGCUCAACCUCGAGACGUCGAUGGAAACCAUCUGGCUAGAGUCCGGAAGAGGAGAGUGGAAUUCCGUGGUGUAGCGGUGAAAUGCGCAGAUAUCAGGAGGAACACCGAUGGCGAAGGCAGGUCUCUGGGCCACUACUGACGCUGAGAAGCGAAAGCAUGGGGAGCGAACAGG
rnacentral:rRNA from 1 species